rnacentral:rRNA from 1 species
GACGAACGCUGGCGGCGCGCUUAGCACAUGCCAGUCGAACGGAAAGGCCUGCUUUCCCUUGUGGAUUGCGGGUACUCGAGUGGCGAACGGGUGAGUAACACGUGAGUGAUCUGCCCCCAACUUGGGUAUAAGCCUGGGAAACUGGGUCUAAUUCCCGAUAGGACUGCAGGGUGGUGCCUGUGGUGGAAAACGAUUUUCUAGUGGUUGGGGAUGAGCUCGCGGCCUAUCAGCUUGUUGGUGGGGUAAUGGCCUACCAAGGCGGCGACGGGUAGCCGGCCUGAGAGGGGGGACGGCCACAUUGGGACUGAGAUACGGCCCAGACUCCUACGGGAGGCAGCAGUGGGGAAUAUUGCACAAUGGGCGGAAGCCUGAUGCAGCGACGCCGCGUGGGGGAUGACGGCCUUCGGGUUGUAAACUCCUUUCGACCGCGAGGAAGCCACCUGGUUGGAAGGGUGGUGACGGUAGUGGUAGAAGAAGCACCGGCUAACUACGUG